AUGGGCAUAAUUGCAGAGCCCUGGCUUCUCCAUGACAGAAUUUCAUGCCGUUAUCCUAAAGGGAGUAAUUUUGAUAGAAAUUCCAUCACUGAAGCUUGCUCCGACCCCAAAUCAACAUGGCCUAUAUACUCUAUCUUGAAAUUUUAUCAUCGCAAUAUCUCUCAUUUACCUAUGGCUAAAGAUUUGUUAGUGGAUAUUGUAUCAGAGUCAGAUGGAAACAGCGACGCCCCACCAGCUGGCUGUAGUGGUACAUCCCAAGGACAGCAACUACGAGCUCCGACUGCACUUCUGCAGUCUGUCUCUGUCGAGCAUCCUCCAGUUCAACCUCAGCAGCAGUCGAUGCAACUA
rnacentral:lncRNA from 1 species